rnacentral:lncRNA from 1 species
AUGUCUGUAUUUAGCCAGUGCUUGUUUUUCUUUCAAUGCAGCUACAAGGCCACUGGCUAUGCAAGGCCACAAGUUAUGCUAUGCUAUAGAUUAUGUGACCUAUCAUUUGAUUAACUGCUUUUGUUUUAUUUAUUGUAAGUCCACUUAUAAAAAUCCUGCUCUGUCUUUGUUUAAUGCCCAGUUUUUUGGAUAUGAAUCUACUGAGCCGAUGCGUACCUAAAAUAAACAAUCCUCCUGUUUCUCUCAUAUUGGUCUCUCCGUUCCUCAGUUUACCGCAGCAACAGGGUCUUGCUCUACCACCCAGGCUGGGGUGCAGCGGUGCUCACUGCAGCCUCAAACUCCUGGGCUCAAGCAAUCUUCCUGCCUCAGUCUUCCAAAGCAUUGAGAUUUCAGGUGUGAGCCACCGUGCCUGGCCUUGAAGGCCACUUUUAAGAAAAGUUAAGCACCUUGAAAUAUUUAAUAAUGCUUAGGCCAAAAUAAUUCAAUUUCCCGGUAACUAUACCCACCUGCUAGGGGUAAUAAUUUCUCUUUCCUUCUCAUCCGCAUUUAGCAAGUCUCUGUCCUUUCCUUUUGCUGUGUGGUCCUUACAACUCUCAGCUCACAAACUCCAUAUGCAGGAAAGCUGUCCUUCUUUACUUUCUUUCAGAGAUCUUGGACUUGGUUUCUGGCCCCUCACCUCGCUGAGAUGGGGGCCCAGGAUUUAUUUUCAGUCAUUGCUGGGACUUUCCCCACACCAAAUGUACCCAGGUCUCACAGUGACAAAGGCCGAGUUGCUGACUUGGUUUUAAUCAUCUGCCACACCAGAAGUCCCCAUUGUCCUGGCCCACAAGGUCCCUUCGAGUCUUGUGGCUCUGAUGCUUCUUUGUCACUUGUGGGUAAGGGAAUCUGGCUGGGACUGGGAGCCCUGUGCCUGGAGUCCUUUCCGUUGUCUCUGGGGCACAUCCUCCUGGUGCUGAUUUGAAGAGGGGUGGGGGACAGGUUUACAGAAAACACUCUCUCCCCUUCAGGAUCCAGAAGAAUAUUUCUCCUUCCUCAUCCCAUUGUGUUCUCUCUAAGGUGCUGCUCCUCUCUCCUGUGAUUGACACCCAAUAUCUUCUCCUCAUGGGUUUAGACUUUUACAAAAGGCAGUGAGAGCUGUGGACUUUCGCUGUUUGCUUAAAAUGGGAGAAUUUAAAUACACAGAGAAUAGCUUUGUAGCUCAAGAAAGGUACCUUUGGCCGGGCGAGGUGGCUCACAGCUGUAAUCCCAGCAUUUUGGUAGACUAAGGCAGGUGGAUCACCUGAGGUCAGGAGUUCAAGAUCAGCCUGACCAACAUGGAGAAACCCCAUCUCUACUAAAAAUACAAAAUUAGUCGGGCGUGGUGGCACAUGCCUGUAAUCCCAGCUACUCAGGAGGCUGAGGCAGGAGAAUCACUUGAACAUUUGAGGCGGAGGUUGCAGUGAGCCGAGAUCGCGCCAUUGCACUCCAGUCUGCGCAACAAACUCCCUCUCAAAAAAAAAAAAAAACAAAAAA